rnacentral:rRNA from 1 species
AACGAACGUUGGCGGCGUGGAUUAGGCAUGCAAGUCGAACGAAUCCCACCUGGGUAACUGGGUGGGGGAAGUGGCGAAAGGGGCAGUAAGGCGUGGGUAACCUACCCCGGGGACCGGGAUAGCCAUUCUAACGAGUGGGUAAUACCGGGCGAUGCGGCGGAGGGGCAUCUCUUUGCCGUGAAAUGAGUUUCGCCUCGGGAGGGGCUCACGUAGUAUUAGCUUGUUGGUGGGGUAACGGCUCACCAAGGCCAAGAUGCUUAGCGGGUGUGAGAGCACG